rnacentral:rRNA from 1 species
AACGAACGCUGGCGGCAGGCUUAACACAUGCAAGUCGAGCGCUCACUUCGGUGGGAGCGGCAGACGGGUGAGUAACGCGUGGGAAUCUACCCAACUCUACGGAAUAACUCAGGGAAACUUGUGCUAAUACCGUAUACGCCCUUCGGGGGAAAGAUUUAUCGGAGUUGGAUGAGCCCGCGUUGGAUUAGCUAGUUGGUGGGGUAAAGGCCUACCAAGGCGACGAUCCAUAGCUGGUCUGAGAGGAUGAUCAGCCACACUGGGACUGAGACACGGCCCAG